ACUCAAUGAUAUUCAUAUCAGGCCAUCUAAAAUGCACUCCGUCUGGUGGUAUAGCCAUGUCUACCAAGCUGAAAAAUAAAGUUAUUGUACUGUUGUCAUGGGCACUUUUGCUGCAGCUAGAUUUAGAUCAUUUUGCUCUGGCUGCUGACAUCACAAAAGAGGAAGAUCUGCUGACAGUGUGUCCUGGAGAGUUGGUCUCUCUCACUUGUACUCAUGCUAAUGUUGCUCGUG